AUUGAACGCUGGCGGCAGGCCUAACACAUGCAAGUCGAGCGAGCGGCGGACGGGUGAGUAAUGUCUGGGAAACUGCCUGAUGGAGGGGGAUAACUACGGGAAACGGUAUCUAAUACCGCAUACCCUCAGAGCUGACCAGAUGGGAUUAGCUAGUAGGUGGGGUAAUGGCUCACAUAGGCGACGAUCCCUCGCUGGUCUGAGAGGAUGACCAGCCACACUGGAACUGAGAAACGGUCCAGACUCCUACGUGAGGCAGCAGUGGGGAAUAUUGCACAAUGGGCGCAAGCCUGAUGCAGCCAUGCCGCGUGUGUGAAGAAGGCCUUCGGGUUGUAAAGCACUUUCAGCGGGGAGGCGUUACCCGCAGAAGAAGCACCGGCUAACUCCGUGCCAGCAGCCGCGGUAAUUC
rnacentral:rRNA from 1 species